rnacentral:misc_RNA from 1 species
CAACCUUCAAGCCCCGCUUGGUGUUGGGCGCUGUCCCGCCUCCGCGCGAGGACUCGCCCCAAAUGAAUUGGCAGCCGCACCCCGAAAGCCGCGAGCGCAGCAAAGACGCGCGAGCAGACCGCAGGGGAUGGGCGCUCCACAAGACACAACCACAAG